rnacentral:rRNA from 1 species
GUGGGGAAUAUUGGACAAUGGGCGAAAGCCUGAUCCAGCCAUGCCGCGUGUGUGAAGAAGGUCUUCGGAUUGUAAAGCACUUUAAGUUGGGAGGAAGGGCAUUAACCUAAUACGUUAGUGUUUUGACGUUACCGACAGAAUAAGCACCGGCUAACUUCGUGCCAGCAGCCGCGGUAAUACGAAGGGUGCAAGCGUUAAUCGGAAUUACUGGGCGUAAAGCGCGCGUAGGUGGUUCGUUAAGUUGGAUGUGAAAGCCCCGGGCUCAACCUGGGAACUGCAUCCAAAACUGGCGAGCUAGAGUACGGUAGAGGGUAGUGGAAUUUCCUGUGUAGCGGUGAAAUGCGUAGAUAUAGGAAGGAACACCAGUGGCGAAGGCGACUACCUGGACUGAUACUGACACUGAGGUGCGAAAGCGUGGGGAGCAAACAGGAUUAGAAACCCCAGUAGUCC